AAGUCGUAACAAGGUAACCGUAGGUGAACCUGCGGAAGGAUCAUUAUCACAAAUGAUUUUUAACUCUCUUAAUCCAGAGUUAAACCUCUUCUUAAACCAAUCUAAUUAAAAUGUGAAAUCGUUUUAUUUUAAGACUUGGCAACAAGUCUUAAAAUUAUUAACCAAUUGAACCCUUUUCUAAUUAAUGUUAUUUUAUUUAUUUAGUUCUGAAAUCUAUUAUAUAUCAAUAUGUAAUAAUAUUGACAUGUAAUAAGUUACAUUACGAAACAAUUUAAAUAAAACAACUCUUAGCAACGGAUAUCUUGGUUCUC
rnacentral:misc_RNA from 1 species